GACGAACGCUGGCGGCGUGCUUAACACAUGCCAGUCGAACGGAAAGGCCCUGCUUUUGUGGGGUGCUCGAGUGGCGAACGGGUGAGUAACACGUGAGUAACCUGCCCUUGACUUUGGGAUAACUUCAGGAAACUGGGGCUAAUACCGGAUAGGAGCUCCUGCUGCAUGGUGGGGGUUGGAAAGUUUCGGCGGUUGGGGAUGGACUCGCGGCUUAUCAGCUUGUUGGUGGGGUAGUGGCUUACCAAGGCUUUGACGGGUAGCCGGCCUGAGAGGGUGACCGGCAACAUUGGGACUGAGAUACGGCCCAGACUCCUACGGGAGGAAGAAGGGGGGAAUAUUGCACAAUGGGCGGAAGCCUGAUGCAGCAACGCCGCGUGCGGGAUGACGGCCUUCGGGUUGUAAACCGCUUUCGCCUGCGACGAAGCGUGAGUGACGGUAAUGGGUAAAGAAGCACCGGCUAACUACGUG
rnacentral:rRNA from 1 species